ensembl:lncRNA
AUAUAAUGUCCAUAGUCAUGGUAUGCUUGGUUCAAGAGCUAUUGAGGAGAAAACCGAAUCCAUCGAAUAUCCAAUAUACAACUACGUUUACCUGGAUCAGGAAGCGCACUUUGCCCUGUCGUGCGAUGCCCAUAGACUAUCACACAGAGCCUCCUUAUUGCAUCAGGCAUCGUCCACUCGGCAGAGAGACAGAAAGGACAGCUAGACUACAUGUCAUGGACUGGUGGACUACCCUGGCUGCGAGUAUAGCCUUCCUCUGGCUGCUGUGUUAUAUCGACGGUAAGAGAACCUGGUUAGCAGAGGUAUGGGAGCUUUCUUCGUCAAGGGAACGGUGCGGUAUUGGCACGCGCACGGCUCUUCCUCCUAAUUGCGGCAACGCCGUCCUGGAGCUGCGGCUCCUCCUCCACGCCCUCACCAAAGCAGCGUGCCACCUGUACCUGGCCGUGCUCCCACUGCGGCGCGCCGCACUGCACCUUGCCCGCUUCGUCUGUCACCUGGUAAACCAUGGCCCCACCUCCGCUGGCCGGGCGUCUCCUCUUCUCCUUGAGGGGGUGUGUGUGAUAUGUGAAGCGGUACCGGACCUGCUGGGAGCCGGGCUCAGUCUAUGUGCAGUAGUCUGUCACAUCCUACAGGGGGUACUGUUCCUGCUGGCCGCCACGGUGAGGUCGGUCCAGGUGAGUGUUCUGGCCCAGAUGGACGGGGAGAAGGAGAGGUGGGAGAAGGAGCAGCAGCAAGCACGGCAGGACGAGAGGAGACAGAACUCUGGGGUGGUGGAAUACCUGUCUGUGUUCUGUCAAGACCCCAUCAGUUCACUACGACUCAGAGUGGACAUGAUCAAUAGAUAACAUCACCGUCUGUCUGUCUGUCUGUCUCUACCCCAUCAGUUCACUACGACUCAGAGUGGACAUGAUCAAUAGAUAACAUCACCGUCUGUCUGUCAGUCUGUCUGUCUCUGUCUGUCUGUCUGUCUGUCAAGACCCCAUCAGUUCACUACGACUCAGAGUGGACAUGAUCAAUAGAUAACAUCACCGUCUGUCUGUCUGUCUCUGUCUGUCUGUCUGUCUGUCAAGUCUGUCUCAGUUCACU